UACAGAGGUCUCAAGCGUUGUUCGGAUUCAUUGGGCGUAAAGGGUGCGUAGGUGGCGCGCUAAGUCAGGUGUGAAAUUUCGGAGCUUAACUCCGAAACUGCAUUUGAUACUGGCGUGCUUGAGGACUGGAGAGGAGACUGGAAUUCAUGGUGUAGCAGUGAAAUGCGUAGAGAUCAUGAGGAAGACCAGUGGCGAAGGCAGGUCUCUGGGCCAUAACUGACGCUGAGAAGCGAAAGCAUGGGGAGCGAACAGG
rnacentral:rRNA from 1 species